UACAAAAAGGUUAAUUAUGAAUAUUUAGAAAUAAAGAGAAGGAGCAGGAAGAUAAAAGUUAAGAGUUGGUGCUGAAAGUCGGUGCUGAAAAUUGUAAAAUUGUAUAUAUCUGUUGUUAGUAGUAUAGUUUAACGUUUGAUGUAAGUGUAUGUAUGGUUUUUUUUUCUCGUGUUUUCUUUUGUUAUUGUGUGUUUGGUUUUAAAAAUGUAAAAUACUCAAUAAAAAUUAUUUAACAACAACAAAAAAAAAGACCGUCAUUCACUUCACAAUGAUGGUAGGGAACGUCUAAAAACGGGGCCAAAACUCACUUGGGCAAAUGUCUCACUUAGCAACAAAAAGGUUGAGGUCGUAAGUCGAGGACUACCCAUGCUACCUGUACUGAGUGAGCCCAAAAUUUCUGUUGCUAAGCAAGGCAGGUGUUCAGUUCGUUUUUUGCUCCAUUUUACGAUUUUUGUUUUUGCCGGUUAGGCAAAUCACUGCAGUUGUUAAGUGAAUCACACGGUUGGUAAGCAAAUCUGGCUUCCCCCCCAUUGACUUUGUCAGAAGCUGCUGGGAAGGUUACGAAGGGGGAAUUACGUGACCCUGGGACGCUGCAACCAUCACAAAUACCUGCCCGUUGCUGAACAGCUGGAUUUUGAUCACAUUUUUUUUUAAAUUUACAUUUAUAUCCCGCCCUUCUCCGAAGACUCAGGGCGGCUUACAGUGUGUAAGGCAAUAGUCUCAUUCUAUUUGUAUAUUUACAAAGUCAACUUAUUGCCCCCCCAACAAUCUGGGUCCUCAUUUUACCUACCUUAUAAAGGAUGGAAGGUUGAGUCAACCUUGGACCUGGUGGGACUAGAACCUGCAGUAAUUGCAGGGAGCUGUGUUUUAAUAACAGGCUUCUUACAGCCUGAGCCACACCGCGGCCCUUGAGCCACACCGCGGCAUCACAUGACCAAGGGGUGCUCCAGCAGUGGAGUGAAAAGCAGUCAUAUGUCUGAGGACCCCAAUCCCUGGGCCCUCGGCCUACUACUGGGCCAUUGUCUGUUUGAAACUGGGCCAUGUGAGCAUCUGGACAGCAUGAUUGCACGCACGUGCAACUUAAUUUGUGUGAGCAACGGGCUGGUGUGUGCACUUGUGCAGUUUGACUUGUGCAACCAGCUGGCUGGUUCCCCUCUCUCCCCAUACCUGCCUGCUGGGCUGCCAAGCCGUACAGAUUGGGAAUUAUUGUCCCAAGUCACAUUUUUUCCGUGCCAUUGUAACUUCGGUUGCUAAAUGAAUGGUUGUUAGCAGUGGUGGAAUGCUGGAGGUUGAACAACCGGUCCGGUGAGUGCGCGCUUUGCCUGCGCAUGGACCUAAGGCGUUUGCGCGCAGCACUGAAAAGGGAGCAUUUAGAAGCCCAGCUACUUACCUUCCAAGUCAGCAACCCCCCCCAUGUCGUAUAAUUCCUAUUGGCGACCUUCCCAGGGGAUUGUUGUGGUCUGCCAGCAGUCUGCAGAGCUGGCAACGGAGUCGGACAGCGAUGAGGCUGAGGUGAGGCCAGGGCCAUCGGAAGUGAUGUGCAGACUCCAGAGCCUCCAAAGUCUGACAGUAGUGAGGCAGAGGAACAGGAGGAGCCUGUUCCUAAUGCACAGAUGAGAACUUUCAGAAGGCAAGAGCAGCUCAAGCAGAUAGGACGACUCAGGAGUAGGGCCAAGAGAUGAUUGGCCCCUCCCAUAAGGCAUAAAAGACCAGCAACGGCAUUUGGGCUUUGCCGGAAAACAUUGGCAGUUUCGUCUUCUGCUUCGUCUACGUCUUGCAUUUAUUUUUGUGACUUCUGAACGUUUGCCAAGGAAGGCCUUUGGCAGUUUGCCUAAUUGGACCAAGGUUUGCGAUACGACUGAGGAAUUUGUGUUGGGAGGAAUUUGCUUUAAUUUAGUUGAACUACGCUGGGAAUGAAGUAAUUCUCAGCUGUUCGAAUAAAGUUUUUUUUCCCACGGGCUGAGUUUCCUACUACCUACUUGGCCCUGGGUCACAACAGGGAUGUCCAACAAGCAAAGUCAAUGUGGGGAUUCCCUUUAUGAUUGCAUGUUUCGUUUAACGACUGCCAUGGCUAUUUUUUUUUCUUUUUGUAAUGGAAAAAAACAGGUUUGAAAGAUCGGGUGUAACUUAUUUAACGAACACAUCACUUCAUGAUCAAAGUUCCAGUUCCAGUUGUGGUUGUUAAAUCCUAAUAUCAUUUUCUUCUACACAAGUCUACAGUUCUCUAUCCCAAGAGAUCAGAAGAGGUGAUGCAGAAGCCACAUCUUAAAGCUUCAUCCCUAAAUCACAUCUGGUCAGGUGGCUCAGUGGCUGAGCUUGUCGAUCGAAAGGUUGGCAGUUCAGCGGUUCGAAUCCCUAGUGCCGCGUUUAAACGGGGUGAGCUCCCGUUCCUUGUCCCAGCUUCUGCCAACCUAGCAGUUCGAAAGCAUGUAAAAAAUGGAAGUAGAAAAAUAGGGACCACCUUUGGUGGGAACAGCGUUCCGUGCGCCUUUGGCGUUGAGUCGUAGAUAGAUAGGCAGAUACCGGUAGAUAGAUACUGAUAGGUAGGUAGGUAGGUAGGUAGGUAGGUAGAUAUAGAGACAGAUAAGAUAGAUAGGUAAGUAGAUAUAGAGAUAGAUAGACAAGACAGCUAGGUAGGUAGAGAGAUUAGAUAGAUAGAUAGAUAAAUGGAUGGAUUGUAAUGAUGGAUGGAAAGAGAGAACAGAUUUAUCAUCUGUUGAUUUGCUCCUGGAGUAAAUAUUAAUGUCUGGUGUUCUUUUUUCGACCAAGAAACAGUAAGAGCUGUUUCAAUGGGGAGCUCCCGCUAAGCUUUCUCCCCCUAACCAGACCAUCUCCCCACAGAGUCUGAGGGUCCAUUCUGAAAGUGACUGGGAGGAGCAUGGAAGGAACAUGCAGGAGGAGAGCGUAUUCCCAGGACAAAGCACCGACACUACCGCUUGCUUAAGGUGGAACCAUUUUUAUUUGACACGGACAUGUAUUUCGAUAAAAAUCUGUUAUUUUCGAAACCACUCUCUUUCCAAACGGUCUCCAUGCUCCAGAAGUUAACUCUUCUUUCCCAAUCUUAAUCUCUAAGCUAUUUACAUCUUUAACUACCUUAGGAAAGCAAAACCUUUUGUCGUAAGGGUACAACUUAGCGAUUCUAUCCCAAAGCUACCAAAAAAAAAAAGAA